GAUGAACGCUGGCGGCGUGCCUAAUACAUGCAAGUCGAGCGAACAGACGAGGAUCUUGCUCCUCUGACGUUAGCGGCGGACGGGUGAGUAACACGUGUAUAACGUACCUGUAAGACUGGGAAAACUUCGGGAAAGCGGAGCAAAUACCGGAUAAGAUAUUGAACCGCAUGGUUGAAUAGUGAAAGACGGUUUUGCUGGCUCUUAUAGAGGGAUCUGCGCCGCAUUAGAUGGUUGGUAAGUUAACGGGUUACGAAGGCAACUAUGCGUAGCCGACCGGAGUGGGUGGUAGCCGACCCGGGAACGUGGACACGGUCCAGACUACUACGAGAGGCAGCAGUCGGGAAUCGUCCGCAAUGGGCGAAAGCAUGACGGAGCAACGGCACGUGAGUGAUGACGGUCUUCGGAUCGUAAUACUCUGCUAUUGGGGAAGAACAAAUGUGGAAGUAACUAUGCACGUCUUGACGGUACCUAAUCAGAAAGCCCCGGCUAACUACGUG
rnacentral:rRNA from 1 species